AGCGGAAGUAGAAGAAGAAGAAAAGAAAAGAAAAGGGGAGAGAAGAGAAGAGAAGCGCAGCGCUUUCGCUUCUCACAGCCAGCGCUUCUGCAUCUGGACACAUGGAUGCCAUCAGUCAUCACUGAGCAGUGAAGAUGGCACACGGGCUGAAGAUCCCUGACAGGAGACAAGCGGCAUCUCACUGAGCAGUGUAAGAAAACACGAGAGAAGAUUGUAGAAGAUCAUGAUGGUAGAGCCAGGACCCAAAUAGGUUUCACUGUCACACGGGCU